rnacentral:tRNA from 1 species
GCCUGGGUGGCUCAGUCAGUUGAGCAUCUGACUUUGGCUCAGGUCAUGAUCUCAUUGUCCGUGAGUUCGAGCCCCACGUCGGGCU